CUCAAAAACCUCACUUGUUGAUAAGGAUUGCCCUAGAGGCCCACUUUUGGGGAAAAUAAUGCUUAGCAUCACCUCACACUCCUUCACAAGCUUGUUAAGCACAUCGAUUUUGAAGAAUGGCUGGUUCAAGACAUCUUGGAUAAAAGGUAACCGAAGUAGUGCACCAGUUCGCUUAUCAUAUUUCUUUAUUAUCUUAACCAAACCUGCACACAGGAUGAGAGAAGAAAACGCUUAGCAUUCAUUAUCACAAAAACCCACCUAGUCAAAGAAAUCAUCUUUCACCUACUGUCCUACACACCCUAGUUUUCCUGUCUGAUUAUAUUGUGUUUAACCAUUCACUUCAUUUUAUGCACCCAUCUACUGACAAACAAGAAUAACUCUGAUGUAUUCAAUCAGAAGAGUAUCAGUAAAACCCUGACUCAGUUUAGAAAUGCAAACUCAUUUUUUAAAACAAAAUGUUCAGUAGCCAUCUUAUUUGCAAAAUAUGGUUGCAAACGAUAGUCAAUAGAAUUAAGACUGUAAAAUCCAUGAUAUUCUAUAGCUUCAUCUGACUAUACAUCUUAAUUGACUAAACUACCAUUAAUUAAUACCCCUAAAACUGUAACUCAUUCGCAAUUUAGUCUUCAAUGUAACUGUAUGAUAAUUCAGUCCUUAGAGGUCCAAACUCAUUUCUCAUUGGUUCUCAUAUUAUAUGAUAGGGAUUGACAAUACAAAUUUGAAUAAUUCAAGAACUAAAUCAUAUGCUCAACUUAAAUGCGGUACAAUAAUACUUUGCAAAUGAGGUGUACUUCAAAAAAAACAAAAUACCAUAUGUCACUAUCCUAUGAGGCAAAAGGAAUCUGCCGCUUAAAAUUCAUGCACAGGGUCUGACAAAAAUUACCUGUGUAGUUAAGUGCACUAUAGUUCUCUAACAAAACCAUCUCUCCAUGAAAAUCCACUAUUUCCCUCCCUACUGUCAUCAACUCGAUAUCAGAACUCUUGGCCCAGGCAACUUUGUCUUGCAAUUCCUGCAUAGCAAACAUAAGAAGUCGUUCUUAGAAAUGGAAUACGCUAGGUCCAUAUCUCAGUCACGUCUCUGACAUGGAAAAGUUGGUGUAACUAUGCAGAACAAGGUGAAAAUUGCAGACAUAUGGCGAUAUAAAAGUUGGUGUAACUAUGCAGAACAAGGUGAAAAUUGCAGUCAUAUGGCGAUAUAAAAGUUGGUGCAACUAUGCAGAACAAGGUGAAAAUUGCAGACAUAUGGCAAUAUAUGUGUAAUUGUUUAUCACUAGCAAUACUUUCAUAAUAAUAUAUGUCAGCUAAAGCUUAAACACAGUUUACAUUAGCUUCUAGUCAUAAAAUCACUCGGCUAAAAUACAUUUACGGUUCUUCACUAAGAUUAUACUUUUUUUUUACUAGUAGGAAUCAAACUCAACAUUCCGAAAUUUACAACACAGACAAGGUGCAUCAGGCCCUUGGUGGUAAAAUUAUACUAAUUGAGAUGAAAAACAGAAUAUUAUUGUUCAAAUUACUCAUAAUUAUUAUAAGAUUAUUUUAAUAGUCCAUUUUACUUCGAGGAUAAGUUUCUAGAACAUUUUUUCCUUCCACCAACAGUCCCAAUGAACAGAAAAGAUUGCUAAAAUAAAAAAUAUGAGUCAAGCAUGCCUUUCCAGAAUUACAAUAUAUGCUGACAAAGAAAGGACUUCUAAACCACCAAGAGCAAAC
rnacentral:lncRNA from 1 species